rnacentral:rRNA from 1 species
UCCAGACUCCUACGGGAGGCAGCAGUGGGGAAUAUUGCACAAUGGGGGAAACCCUGAUGCAGCGACGCCGCGUGAGUGAAGAAGUAUUUCGGUAUGUAAAGCUCUCUCAGCAGGAAAGAAAAUGACGGUACCUGACUAAGAAGCCCCGGCUAACUACGUGCCAGCAGCCGCGGUAAUACGUAGGGGGCAAGCGUUAUCCGGAUUUACUGGGUGUAAAGGGAGCGUAGACGGUGAAGCAAGUCUGAAGUGAAGGGCGGGGGCUCAACCCCCGGACUGCUUUGGAAACUGUUUGACUGGAGUGCAGGAGAGGUAAGUGGAAUUCCUAGUGUAGCGGUGAAAUGCGUAGAUAUCAGGAGGAACACCGGUGGCGAAGGCGGCUUACUGGACCAUAACUGACGUUGAGGCUCGAAAGCGUGGGGAGCGAACAGGAUUAGAUACCCGAGUA